rnacentral:piRNA from 1 species
AACACACGGCUCAUUCUUUGAAAU